AUCCCAGUGUCACCAUAUCCCGGGACCGUGACAUCCCAGUGCCACUGUCCUGGUGUCACGACGUCCUGGUGUCACGACAUCCAAGUGCCAUUGUCCCGGUGUCACGACGUCCCGGUGUCACGACGUCCCGGUGCCAUUGUCCCGGUGUCACGACGUCCCGGUGUCACGACGUCCCGGUGCCACAACGUCCCGGUGCCAUCGUCCCGGUGCCACGACCUCCCGGUGCCACAACGUCCCCCUGUCCCCACGUCGCGGUGUCACGACAUCCAAGUGCCAUUGUCCCGGUGUCACGAUAUCCCGGUGUCACGACAUCCCGGUGCCAUUGUCCCAGUGUCACGACGUCCCGGUGUCACGAUGUCCCGGUGUCACGACGUCCCGGUGUCACGAUGUCCCAGUGCCAUUGUCCCAGUGUCACGAUGUCCCGGUGCCACGACGUCCCCCUGUCCCCACGUCCUGGUGUCACGACAUCCAAGUGCCAUUGUCCCAGUGUCAUGACGU
rnacentral:lncRNA from 1 species